CAUGUUAUGCCUUUAGGAAAUAUCUUGGCACAUAGUAAGUAUUCACUAUGGUAAUGCUAAUUAUUUUGAUUAAACUGUGCAUAUCUUGUUGACUAUGUUGUGCAUAUUGUCAGGGUCUCUGCUUCAUUUUCUGAUUCACAAUUCUUCCUGGAAGAUGAAUCGAUCAUUGGAAGACAAGUCUGAGCAACGUUUUGGACUCCAUUUUUGUUUUUACUCCAGGUUGCCACAUUCAUCCUCCAGAAGAUCCUCUUAGAUGACACAGGUUUGGCAUAUAUAUGUCAGACAUACGAGCGUUUCUCCCACGUUGCCAUGAUCUUGGGUAAGAUGGUCCUGCAGCUAUCCAAAGAGCCUUCCGCCCGUCUGCUGAAGCACGUAGUGAGGUGUUACCUUCGACUCUCAGAUAAUCCCAGGGCACGUGAAGCGCUCAGGCAGUGCCUCCCUGACCAGCUGAAGGACACGACCUUCGCCCAGGUGCUAAAAGAUGACACCACCACGAAACGCUGGCUUGCACAACUGGUGAAGAACCUGCAAGAGGGCCAGGUCACCGAUCCUCGGGGGAUCCCCCUGCCCCCUCAGUGAUCCUCCCCUGCCCCCUUCUACCACUCCCCCGAGUUGGGGGUGGGGGAAUCCUCGAGGAAAACAGCUCAGGUUUUACCGCCGACCAGGAAUAGACAACCUCAAUGCUGAAGUGCACUGGAGAACAGGGGCAAGGUCGCCCCGCUGGGGUGAAUGGGCUGCCUCUGGGACCUGGGCUCCCUCCGCUCCUCCCAGGAGAUGGGCUCCUGACACAGCAGCCUGCCACCACAGCUCCAGGAGGGUGUCCACACCAGCAAAUGCUGUGUCUGCAGCAUGCCCGCGAUGGCCAUUCUCCCCAACCCGGACCGGCUGCGGGCAGGGCGGGGCCGUGGCCACGGCCGUGACCGGGACCGGGACCGUGUUAGCACGCGAGGCAUGCGCAACGCCUGGGACCAAGCCGGGUGGCGGUCUUUUAUUUUGCCUUCCUGGAAGACUCAAGACGUGUCUCUUCAUCCUCUCUCUCAGUAUUUGUUUACUUGGGUCUUUUGUUUUUGAUGUCAGAGAGAGGUGUGUUUAGUGGACACCAGCUGUAAUACUCAGCAAAACUUUGUCAAUUGGCACUGUUUACAAGUCUGUUAGCUGCAUAAGCUUAAUAAAAAGUUGGUCUGGGCAUUGCAUCCCCUCUAGCAGGCCAGUAGCUGCAUGAACUGUGGGGAGGAAUGGGAGGCAGGGGAAGGGUAAAGCCAAAGGACAACAGGACCCUGCUGCCUCUCUCCCUUCCCUUUCCGUCCUUCUGCCCCCAGUUCUGGAUGCCACAAGGACCCUCACCUUGUUUCUGGCUCUAGCUGCUAGCUCUGCCAAAUCUCAGUGCUUUUCCCUUUUUCACGUCCCUCUUAUUAAACUUCAACAGACGUCUUAAUUCAUCAGGCUGUCCUGGAAGGGUAUUGUAUUGGGGGAGGUAAAGCGGCAUGGACUUCACCUUCAAUUCCAGUCCUCAGAGAGAUUUUCUGGAUGACUUUUAAAGGUGCCUGGGAUCAAGAUGACAGGCUCCUUGAUCCCAUUCUUUAGUAUGAAUUUCCGCAGCGCCAUCUGUGUUCACGAUUGUACUUGAAGUGGUAUUAGCUGAAUGAGUUCGUUUUAUUCAGAUUUAAGAUAGAGGGUUUGACGCUGCUGCUUUGCUAUCUUUUUUUUUUUUUUUUUUUGACACAUUCCCUGUUGGUCUGUGGGAAUUACAGGGUAGCCACUAAAACACUUCCACUUGUUCAUAUUGAGUCAGAGAAUCCCCCUGCCUUCUUUGGAGCUCUAGAUGAUUCUUCACAAUCCAGAGAUUCGAAUCUGUAACACAAUGUAAACUGCCUUGCUUUCCCCCAAUCCUUCCCCCUGCCAACACCUGCUCGCUCUCUCUCUUAUCCCCAUCUCCAAAGAUGGGAUUAUUAGUCCAAUGCUAGAGAGAGACAAAGUUUCCUGUCCACAUCUCACACAAAUGAAGGUAUCUCCGAGCAAGUCUGGGGAGGCUCUGUCUGUAAGGAGCAAGCUCAGAGAAACCUUUGCAGAGGCAAAUUUGCCAACCAAGGGCUCUUUCAAGCCGACUUUCACAAAGGGGGCCGGCAUUGUUAGUUGGCUUCUGUCUCAGGAGCCGAGAAAAUAGUAAUUAAGUAGCCUAGAUGUAGGAAGGGUAGAAUAAGCACUUACUCCCCUGCCUUACAAGAUGAAGAAGAGAACCAGGUGAGCUCUCAGUCUCAAGCCUGAAGAGAAGAGGUCUUGGAGAAAGCAGAGAACACCAUGGACUGGAUAGACAUCUGGACUUCCCUCAGCCCGUAGUUUUGUGAUCUGGAGAGUCCAGCUAAGGGAUCUCUGAUUUUUGCCAACUGCCUUCCUGCUGAGCCAAAGUUUUCUCAUUCCCCCUCCACUGGGGAAGCAGCUGAGGCCCAGGGCCUUGCUCCCUGGGAAAUUCUCUUCUCCAUCUUCCGGUGCGUUGGCCAUUUUACUGUGCCAUACUGUGUCUUAAUUCCUGUUCCAUCUAUUCUCAGCUGGCCUUGGACCCUACCUAGGAGUUGGGGGAGGGAUGAAAAUGGGUAUUAUUCUAUUCCUUGUAGUUGAUCCUGAUGUCAUGUGUGUAUAAAGAGACCCCUCCCUUCAUUUUUUUGUUUUCCAUCCCUCUUACUCCCUAACAGGAUUGAAAUAAAACCUGUUUCUGUUUUUAUAAAAAUAA